GACGAACGCUGGCGGCGUGCCUAAUACAUGCAAGUAGAACGCUGAAGGCGGAGCUUGCUUCUCUGGAUGAGUUGCGAACGGGUGAGUAACGCGUAGGUAACCUGCCUUUUAGCGUGGGAUAACUUUUGGAAACUAUAGCUAAUACCGCAUAAUAGUAGAUGUCGCAUGACAUUUGCUUAAAAGUUUCAAUUGCAUCACUACCAGAUGCACCUUCUUUGUAUUGGCUAGUUGGAGAGGUAUCGCCUCACCAAGGCAACGAUACAUAGCAGAACGGAGAGGGUGAUCGGCCACACUGGGACUGAGACACGGCCCAGACUCAUACGGGAGGCAGCAGUAGGGAAUCGGCGGCAAUGGACGGAAGACUGACCGAGAAAGGCCGCGUGAGUGAAGAAGGUUGUCGGAUCGUAAAGGUCUGUUGUAAGAGAAGAACGAGUGUGAGAGUGGAAAGUUCACAGUGUGACGGUAUCUGACAAGAAAGGGACGGCUAACUACGUG
rnacentral:rRNA from 1 species